rnacentral:rRNA from 1 species
UACGAAGGGGACUAGCGUUGUUCGGAAUCACUGGGCGUAAAGCGCACGUAGGCGGAUUUGUAAGUCAGGGGUGAAAUCCCGGGGCUCAACCUCGGAACUGCCUUUGAUACUGCGAAUCUAGAGUCCGAUAGAGGUGGGUGGAAUUCCUAGUGUAGAGGUGAAAUUCGUAGAUAUUAGGAAGAACACCGGUGGCGAAGGCGGCCCACUGGAUCGGUACUGACGCUGAGGUGCGAAAGCGUGGGGAGCAACAGG